GAGUUUGAUCAUGGCUCAGAUUGAACGCUGGCGGCAUGCCUUACACAUGCAAGUCGAACGGCAGCACGGGAGCUUGCUCCUGGGUGGCGAGUGACGAACGGGUGAGUAAUGCAUCGGAACGUAUCCUGGAGUGGGGGAUAACGUAGCGAAAGUUACGCUAAUACCGCAUAUUCUGUGUGCAGGAAAGCGGGGGACCUUCGGGCCUCGCGCUCUUGGAGCGGCCGAUGUCGGAUUAGCUAGUUGGUGAGGUAAAGGCUCACCAAGGCGACGAUCCGUAGCAGGUCUGAGAGGAUGAUCUGCCACACUGGAACUGAGACACGGUCCAGACUCCUACGGGAGGCAGCAGUGGGGAAUUUUGGACAAUGGGGGCAACCCUGAUCCAGCCAUGCCGCGUGAGUGAAGAAGGCC
rnacentral:rRNA from 1 species